rnacentral:rRNA from 1 species
UACGUAGGGUGCGAGCGUUAAUCGGAAUUACUGGGCGUAAAGCGUGCGCAGGCGGCGCGUUAAGACAGGUGUGAAAGCCCCGAGCUUAACUUGGGAAUUGCGCUUGUGACUGGCGUGCUGGAGUGUGGCAGAGGGAGGUGGAAUUCCACGUGUAGCAGUGAAAUGCGUAGAGAUGCGGAGGAACACCGAUGGCGAAGGCAGCCUCCUGGGCCAGCACUGACGCUCAUGCACGAAAGCGUGGGGGAGCAAACAGG